UACGUAGGUGGCAAGCGUUGUCCGGAUUUACUGGGCGUAAAGGGCGUGCAGGCGGUUUGGUAAGUUCAGGGUGAAAGCUCCCGGCUCAACUGGGAGAGGUCCUUGGAUACUGGCAGACUUGAGGAGGGUAGAGGAGAGUGGAAUUCCCGGUGUAGUGGUGAUAUGCGUAGAUAUCGGGAGGAACACCAGUGGCGAAGGCGGCUCUCUGGGCCCUACCUGACGCUGAGACGCGAAAGCGUGGGGAGCGAACCGG
rnacentral:rRNA from 1 species